rnacentral:rRNA from 1 species
CGUGUAGGCGGGUCUUUAAGUCAGGGGUGAAAUGCCAGGGCUCAACCUUGGAACUGCCCUUGAUACUGGAGAUCUUGAGUCCGGGAGAGGUGAGUGGAACUGCGAGUGUAGAGGUGAAAUUCGUAGAUAUUCGCAAGAACACCAGUGGCGAAGGCGGCUCACUGGCCCGGAACUGACGCUGAGAUGCGAAAGCGUGGGGAGCAAACAGGAUUAGAUACCCUGGUAGUCCACGCUGUAAACGAUGGAUGCUAGCCGUUGGGGAGCUUGCUCUUCAGUGGCGCAGCUAACGCUUUAAGCAUCCCGCCUGGGGAGUACGGUCGCAAGAUUAAA